GACGAACGCUGGCGGCGUGCCUAAUACAUGCAAGUCGAACGCUGAAGGAGGAGCUUGCUUCUCUGGAUGAGUUGCGAACGGGUGAGUAACGCGUAGGUAACCUGCCUGGUAGCGGGGGAUAACUAUUGGAAACGAUAGCUAAUACCGCAUAAUAGUAGAUGUCGCAUGACAUUUGCUUAAAAGGUGCAAUUGCAUCACUACCAGAUGGACCUGCGUUGUAUUAGCUAGUUGGUGAGGUAACGGCUCACCAAGGCAACGAUACAUAGCCGACCUGAGAGGGGGAUCGGCCACACUGGGACUGAGACACGGCCCAGACUCCUACGGGAGGCAGCAGGAGGGAAUCUUCGGCAAUGGACGGAAGGCUGACCGAGCAACGCCGCGGGAGUGAAGAAGGGUUUCGGAUCGUAAAGCUCUGUUGUAAGAGAAGAACGAGUGUGAGAGUGGAAAGUUCACACUGUGACGGUAUCUUACCAGAAAGAGACGGCUAACUACGUG
rnacentral:rRNA from 1 species